GCCUGCUUAACUCAGUUGGUAGAGUACCGUUUUUGUAAAUCGAUUGUCAUCGGUUCGAGUCCGAUAGUAGGCU
rnacentral:tRNA from 1 species